UACGUAGGGUGCAAGCGUUGUCCGGAAUCACUGGGCGUAAAGCGCACGUAGGCGGAUUGUUAAGUCAGGGGUGAAAUCCUGGAGCUCAACUCCAGAACUGCCUUUGAUACUGGCGAUCUCGAGUCCGGGAGAGGUGAGUGGAACUGCGAGUGUAGAGGUGAAAUUCGUAGAUAUUCGCAAGAACACCAGUGGCGAAGGCGGCUCACUGGCCCGGUACUGACGCUGAGGUGCGAAAGCGUGGGGAGCAAACAGG
rnacentral:rRNA from 1 species